rnacentral:pre_miRNA from 1 species
GUUGUACUCCCUCCGUCCGAAAAUACUUGUCAUCAAAAUGGAUAAAAUGAGAUGUAUCUAGAACUAAAAUACGUCUAGAUGCAUCUCCUUUUAUUGGUUUUAAUGACAAGUAUUUCCGGACGAAGGGAGUAGUAG